rnacentral:ncRNA from 3 species
ACUCUCGGCAACGGAUAUCUCGGCUCUCGC